rnacentral:rRNA from 1 species
GAUGGACCCGCGUCUGAUUAGCUAGUUGGUGGGGUAACGGCCUACCAAGGCGACGAUCAGUAGCCGGCCUGAGAGGGUGAACGGCCACAUUGGGACUGAGACACGGCCCAAACUCCUACGGGAGGCAGCAGUGGGGAAUAUUGCACAAUGGGGGAAACCCUGAUGCAGCGACGCCGCGUGAGCGAAGAAGUAUUUCGGUAUGUAAAGCUCUAUCAGCAGGGAAGAAAAUGACGGUACCUGACUAAGAAGCACCGGCUAAAUACGUGCCAGCAGCCGCGGUAAUACGUAUGGUGCAAGCGUUAUCCGGAUUUACUGGGUGUAAAGGGAGCGUAGACGGUUGUGUAAGUCUGAUGUGAAAGCCCGGGGCUCAACCCCGGGACUGCAUUGGAAACUAUGUAACUAGAGUGUCGGAGAGGUAAGCGGAAUUCCUAGUGUAGCGGUGAAAUGCGUAGAUAUUAGGAGGAACACCAGUGGCGAAGGCGGCUUACUGGACGAUCACUGACGUUGAGGCUCGAAAGCGUGGGGAGCAAACAGGAAUAGAUACCCCUGGUAUUCCACGCCGUAAACGAGGACUACUAGGUGUCGGGGAGCAAAGCUCUUCGGUGCCGCAGCAAACGCAAUAAGUAGUCCACCUGGGGAGUACGUUCGCAAGAAUGAAACUCAAAGGAAUUGACGGGGACCCGCACAAGCGGUGGAGCAUGUGGUUUUAAUUCGAAGCAACGCGAAGAACCUUACCUGGUCUUGACAUCCCUCUGACCGCUCUUUAAUCGGAGUUUUCCUUCGGGACAGAGGAGACAGGUGGUGCAUGGUUGUCGUCAGCUCGUGUCGUGAGAUGUUGGGUUAAGUCCCGCAACGAGCGCAACCCCUAUCUUCAGUAGCCAGCAUUUAAGGUGGGCACUCUGGAGAGACUGCCAGGGAUAACCUGGAGGAAGGUGGGGAUGACGUCAAAUCAUCAUGCCCCUUAUGACCAGGGCUACACACGUGCUACAAUGGCGUAAACAAAGGGAAGCGAACCUGUGAGGGGAAGCAAAUCUCAAAAAUAACGUCUCAGUUCGGAUUGUAGUCUGCAACUCGACUACAUGAAGCUGGAAUCGCUAGUAAUCGCGAAUCAGCAUGUCGCGGUGAAUACGUUCCCGGGUCUUGUACUCACCGCCCGUCA